CAGAUGGAGGGAUAAGAGGAGACACUGCAGGUGAAGAGGGGAAAAGAUGGGUUCCGAGUGACGCUGUUUUGAGAUGUGCGACUCCUGCUGAGAAACCCCCAAAGAAGAACUGUUUGGACUUGUAGGACAGAGUGACCUCGACGACCCCGGGGAUGUGUCUGGGAGGCGUCUGCACCCGGAUGGCAUGCGGCGUGAUCAACUAGAGAAGGAAGGAAAGGGCGGACCAAGACUCAGUACACAAAAACACAAAAUAAUGCAGCGCUUU